GACGAACGCUGGCGGCGUGCCUAAUACAUGCAAGUAGGACGCAGUUGCGAACGGGUGAUUAACGCGUAGGUACCUACCUAUUAGAGGGGGAUAACUAUUUGACACGAUAGCUAAUACCGCAUCCUAGUAGAUGGACCUGCGUUGUAUUAGUUAGUAGGUAGGGUAAUGGACUACCUAGGCAACGCUACAUAGCCGAACUGAGAGGGUGAUCGGCAAGACUGUGACUGAGAGACGGCCCAGAAUUCUGCGGAAGGCAGCAGUAGGGAAUCUUCGGCAAUGGGGGGAACCCUGACCGAGCAACGCUGCGUGAGUGAAGAAGGUUGUCGGAUCGUAAAGCUCUGUUGUUAAGGAAGGGGUAAUUAACCAGAAAGGGACGGCGAACUACGGGCCAGCAGACGCGGUAAUAC
rnacentral:rRNA from 1 species